rnacentral:rRNA from 1 species
GAUGAACGCUGGCGGCGUGCCUAACACAUGCAAGUCGAACGAACGGACGAGAAGCUUUUUUUCCUGAUGUUCGCGGGUGGCGGGUGAGUAACCCGUGGAUAACCUACCUAUUAUACUGGGUUACCUACGGGAAUACGCAGUUAAUACCACAUAAUAUCUCCUACCGCAUUGUUCCAUAGUGUAAGACGCUCUUCCCGUUACUAACAGUUGGAUCCGCGCUGGAUUAGCUAUUUGGUAAGGUAACGGCUUACCAAGGCAACGACGCAUAGCCGACCUGAGAGGGUGAUCGGCCACACUGGAACUGAGACACGGUCCAGACUCCUACGGGAGGCAGCAGUAGGGAAUCUUCCGCAAUGGGCGCAAGCCUGACGGAGCCACGCCGCGUGAGUGAUGAAGGUCUUCGGGUCGUAAAACUCUGUUGUUAGGGAAGAACAUAUGUGUAUUUAUAUGUGCACAUCUUGACGGUACCUAAUCAAUAAGCCACGGCUAACUACGUG